GUUUAUUCCCUAAGAAGAGGACCCAGUCUCCAUUAGCCAUUGGACUAUCAGGGUUUGAGCGAUGCUAUUGCAAUGAACAGGUUAAAUGAGCUCGGCAGCAGCCAAUUCAACCCUCCUCCCUGCCAUUUAAAGCAGCGGCUAUUACCACAAACACCAAGGAGGUGAGUCACUCCAUACACACCCAGCCAUGAGCACAGCCUGGCCUUAGCAUGAUCUCUGGUUUCUCCUGUCUCAGCUGCUGCAUUCCUCCUGGAAUAUCGUUUAACCCUCCAUUGACUCCUUGAGGUUAAUAAGCAGAGAGAGAGUGAGCUCAGCUGUUGACUGGCGCCUGCCAUCAGCGAACCCUCUCUGCGCCUGGAGCAGCCCAAUCUGGCUCUCAAAGGGUUAAACUUGCCGUCAGGGUUAUGCACUAACCUGCAAAUUGUUGAGGAAUCAAAGUGAAUUUUGGAGUUUAGGCUACCAUGCGAAACUGGAAGAGGACUCCAAGUCAGCGACGUUCUCACCUUAAUUGCUAAACUGUGAAUUCAUGUUUAAUUUUGGACAAUUUAUACUUUAGUUAAUAUCCCCGGUAUUAUACACUGCUCAAAAAAAUAAAGGGAACACAAAAAUAACACAUCCUAGAUCUGAAUUAAUGAAAUAUUCUUCUGAAAUACUUUGUUCUUUACAUAGUUGAAUGUGCAGACAAAAAAGUUUUAAAAUGGAAAUUAGAUUUUUCAACCCAUGGAGGUCUGGAUUUGGAGUCACACUCCAAAGUGGAAAAACACACUACAGGCUGAUCCAACUUUGAUGUAAUGUCCUGAAAACAAGUCAAAAUGAGGCUCAGUAGUGUGUGUGGCCUCCACGUGCCUGUAUGACCUCCCUACAAUGCCUGUGCAUGCUCCUGAUGAGGUGGUGGAUGGUCUCCUGAGGGAUCUCCUCACAGACCUGUACUAAAGCAUCUACCAACUCCUGGACAGUCUGUGGUGCAACGUGAUGUUGGUGGAUGGAGCGAGACAUGAUGUCCCAGAUGUGCUCAAUUGGAUUCAGGUCUGGGGAACGGGCGGGCCAGUCCAUAGCAUCAAUGCCUUUGUCUUGCAGGUACUGCUGACACACUCCAGCCACAUGAGGUCUAACAUUGUCUUGCAUUAGGUGGAACCCAGGGCCAACCGCACCAGCAUAUGGUAUCACAAGGGGUCUGAGGAUAUCUCGGUACCUAACGGCAGUCAAGCUACCUCUGGCGAGCACAUGGAGGACUGUGCGGCCCCCCAAAGAAAUGCCACCCCACACCAUUACUGACCCACUGCCAAACCGGUCAUUCUGGAGGAUGUUGCAGGCAGCAGAACGUUCUCCACUGCGUCUCCAGACUGUCACGUCUGUCACAUGUGCUCAGUGUGAACCUGCUUUCAUCUGUGAAGAGCACAGGGCGCCAGUGGCGAAUUUGCCAAUCUUGGUGUUCUCUGGCAAAUGCCAAACGUCCUGCACGGUGUUGGGCUGUAAGCACAAUCCCCACCUGUGGACGUCGGGCCCUCAUACCACCCUCAUGGAGUCUGUUUCUGACCGCUUGAGCAGACACAUGCACAUUUGUGGCCUGCUGGAGGUCAUUUUGCAGGGCUCUGGCAGUGCUCCUCCUGUUCCUCCUUGCACAAAGGCAGAGGUAGCGGUCCUGCUGCUGGGUUAUUGCCCUCCUAUGGCCUCCUUCACGUCUCCUGAUGUAUUGGCCUGUUUCCUGGUAGCGCCUCCAUGCUCUGGACACUACGAUGACAGACACAGCAAACCUUACCAUAUCUCUAAUUGAUGUGCCAUCCUGGAUGAGCUGCACUACCUGAGCCACUUGUGUGGGUUGUAGACUCCGUCUCAUGCUACCACUAGAGUGAAAGCACCGCCAGCAUUCAAAAGUCACCAAAACAUCAGCCAGGAAGCAAAGGAACUGAGAAGUGGUCUGUGGUCACCACCUGCAGAACCAUUCCUUUAUUGUGGGUGUCUUGCUAAUUGCCAAUAAUUUUCACCUGUUGUCUAUCCCAUUUGCAAUGCUGGCACAGACGGGCGACAACCGUUACUAAAUCACAGCUAUAAAAUGCACAUAGCGCGGGUCAGCAGUAUAAUCGGCUAGAAGCCAGCCAUUAAAUAGGAAAGCCGCUCACAAUAGGGAAACAACCAAACCCCACUCGUCUAGGAAAAAUAGAUCAUUUUAUUUCCAUGGGAGAUUAUUACGGCUUUAUGCCCUCGCUGUGCUGGUGAGCUGAAAAUCAAAAUUUGAAAAGAAUUGCUGGGUUGGACAAUUUUCUUCUCCCAGAAUUUGGUGAUUGAUUCACCACAAUUGCGUGUUUGGUGAAUAAUUCCACUGACACAAAUAGAUCAUUUUGUGAAGCUCAGACGCACAGAGUGAUAUCCUGAUAUAGCCAACACAGGGCUGUGGGAGGACUUAUUCAUACGUAUAAACAUAUACAUGGGGAUAAAACAACCACUUUCUAUUCUCUUAUAAAACUUCCCAAAUAUUACUACUACGUUUUUACCUUGCAACAAUUUGUAAUUUACAAACAAAGUGAAUUUUAAAUGUGACGCCAACAUGGCGACCUAAAAGCAAAGCUGAAUUGGAGAAUUUUUCCACAUUGUCUGUUUUGGACUAACAUUUUGAAUUAAUCUUGAUGCCACUUUGAAUUCACAGUGAAUAUUGAUUUUAGGACCAUGAGAUCAGACUGCGGCAGAAUACAUAGUUACAUUGCUACUUAGGAAAAAAAAGAGUCCAACCUUUCAGAGACAUCUCUGUAUGCUGUUUAUAAGAAGAAAGAAAAAAGUAUAAAUAAAUCCCAAUAUAAUGCAUUAGACAAUAUUUCCUCCCCCCCGAAAGAAUAGAAAAUACUUAUUGUCACAAUCAUAGCAAUCAGGGUUCUCCUUGGAUCGAUACGCUCUUCAC
rnacentral:lncRNA from 1 species